rnacentral:lncRNA from 1 species
GGCUUUCUUGACCUUCUCGUCCGAUGCCAUUGGGUCAACAACGACGGUUUCGUCUAUAUCUACAAGAAAUUUCAAUUUGUCACUCAUGCACAGCUCGUCGCCUUCUUGUGUUCCAUGCUCCUCUAUGCCGAUGUCCAAUUCGUAGUUGCUAUCCUCAUCUGGUGUGGCUGCAUAAAUUCCCCCACCUCCAAAUUAAUUGAUGCAGCGUAGCAAACAACUCGAACGGUUGCACAUCCAACUUCGUUUAAGAACUCAUUGUAGUAAACUAAGAAGGAU